AUUGAACGCUGGCGGCAGGCCGCAAACAUGCAAGUCGAACGAGUUGCGGACUGGUGAGUAAUGUCUGGGAAACUGCCUGAUGGCGGGGGAUAACUACUGGAAACGGUAGCUACUACCGCAUACCCUCGGAUCUGCCCAGAGGGGAUUGGCUAGUAGGUGGGGGAAAGGCUCACCUAGGCUACGAUCCCUAGCUGGUCUGAGAGGAUGACCAGCCCCACUGGAACUGAGACACGGUCCAGAAUCCUCCGGGAGGCAGCAUGGGGGAAUAUUGCACAAUGGGUGCAAGCCUGAUGCAGCCAUGCCGCGUGUAUGAAGAAGGCCUUCGGGUUGUAAAGUACUUUCAGCGGGGAGGCGUUACCCGCAGAAGAAGCACCGGCUAACUCCGGGCCAGCAGCCGCGGUAAUUC
rnacentral:rRNA from 1 species